CUGCCCAACGCCCCAAGCCCCAACCUAGUAUCAGUUUCCCUAAUUCCCUUGGUCCUUUCCCUCAUUUCUAUUUCCUAAAUUCUAACCCUAGGUUUCUCUCAAAAUUCAAAAAGCAACAAGCCACAACUUCACAUAUGCCGAUAGCCCGACACCAACAGCCACACCCUUCAUUUCCGAUCUGCUCCUAAACGACCUCGCCGGCGGCGACUGCUUGUUUCCUCAUUUUUUACCUUCAUUCUUCGAUCUUAAGUCUUCAACAGGUUCACAACUUCUUCAUUCUUCAAUCUUUAGUUUUCAUCAUUGAAUCAAUUUAGCAUUAAUUUUUCGAUCGUCUACUCCGGCGGAAUAGUAUUUUAUAAUGUUUCUGAUUCUUUCUGGUUGGCCGGUGGUUUCGAUUUUUUCAUUCCAUAGCAAUAAUACAUUCAAUGCUGUAAUACACCAAUAUGUUAGGACUUUAUCAGUAAGGAGAUCCAUACAUUUUGAGUCUUAAAGGUUUCAACCGUUUCAUACUCUCACAGUACUCUGUAGAUAUUCAUUUGUGUUUGCAAUCUGUGUUAUCUGUGUUAGUUUGCCCAACCAAUGCAAAAAUUGUUCCAUUUUUUUAUUGAAUUAAGAUGCAAUUGACAUGUCUGCAGCUAUGUUUAACUUCUCUUGAUAGCUUAUUUAUAGUAGUCCAAACCAAAUGCAGCCGUAGUCUGUAGAUAAUCAUGCUAUUUGUUCGUUUGUUCAUCAUUGAAAUAGUCGACUGCUUGAUUUGUUCGUUUGUUCUUAUUUUCCUCUAGCGUUUCUAGUCUCAAUUUGUGUUUGUAUCUAUUUUAAUUUUGUAUAGAUGGCGGAUGAAAGUAGAGUAAGCGAUGCUGAUUUAACUGAAAACUUACCUAUUACUGAAGAUAGCAAUGCCAACAUAAUUGAUACUCAAGAUUCUAAGAAAAGAAAAGCCUUAGACUCUAGAUCCAUGGUUUUGAAUCAUUUUGAUAAAUUUGAGGAAAAUGGGAUCAGUGAAACGAGGUGUAGAUAUUAUAAGCAAUCUUAUGUUCCUAAUUCAUCUAGGAAUGGAACAACAUGAUUGGAAAAUCAUUUGACUAGAUGCAAAGAAUACCCACCUAACAUUGAUAAAGAUAAUACUCAAAUAAUCAUAUCCUUUCAAUCUUUCCAAAAGGAUAGAGGAUCGCUCUAGAAAUUUGAUCAAGAAGUGGUUAGGAUGGCUUUAAUUGAGAUGAUAGUUAUUGAUGAAUUACCAUUUAACUUUGUAGAAAAAGAAGGCUUUAUGAAGUUUAUGAGAAUAGCUCAACCACUAUUUCGUUUUCCUUCUCGUAGAACAAGAACAAGGAAGGGAAUGUUAUGAAGUUUACGAUGAAUUGAAGCAAAAUCUAAGAAGGUCUUUUAGAGAAGCACAACUAAAAAUUUUCCUCACAACAGACACAUGGACUUCAUUGCAAAGAAUAAAUUAUAUGUGUUUGACAGCCCACUUCAUUGAUAGGGAUUGAAAGUUGCAGAAAAGAAUACUAAAUUUUUGCCCUAUCACUAGUCCAAAGGGUGAAGAGAUGGUUAAAGCUAUUUGUAAUUGUUUGCUUGAUUGGUAAUUAGACAAGGUGUUCGCUAUUACUGUGGACAAUGCUUUUUCAAAUGAUGUCACAAUCAAAGAAUUGUCUAAAAAGUUAGAUAUGUGGAAAACUAAUAUGAUGAGUGGUAAGCAUCUUCAUGUGAGAUGCAUGGCUCGCAUACUUAAUCUAAUUGUGCAAGAUGGUUUGAAAGAAAUUGAUGCUUCUGUCACACUGUUAGAAAUACUGUGAGGUAUGUGAGAUCAUCACCUGCAAGGACUUUAAAGUUUAAAUAAUGUUGUGCACAUGUAAAGGUAGAAUGUACCAAAAUAUUGUGUUUGGAUUUUCCUACUAGGUGGAAUUCCACCUAUUUGAUAUUGCAUGUUGGAUACGACGCUAAACUUUGAAAAGGCCUUUGACAAGUUUCAUCUUUUUGAUGAUGAAUUUUCUACUUAUAUUUGUUCUCAUCUUUGUGAAGACAGUAGUAGUGCAGGUCCUCUUGAAUCUGAUGAUUAGGUGAAUGUGAGGAAUGUGAUAAAGUUUCUUGCAAGAUUUUACGAGGUCACCAAAAAAGUUUCAAGUUCACGUUAUGUCACUUGUAAUCACUUGUAAUGCUCAUUUUGAGGAUGUAUAUGAACUUUAUUGUCAUUUGAAAAUGUGUUUAACUAGUGAGGAUGAGAAUUUGAGAAAAAUGGCUGAGCGGAUGAGCAUGAAAAGAUGAAUAAAAUAAUUUUUAUUGCUUCCAUCAUGGAUCCACGUAACAAGUUUGAAUAUGUUAGCCUUGCACUUGAUGAACUUUUUGGGGAGGAAAAAGGGAAGAAAAUAAAAGAUGAGGGGUAUGUUUAUAUGAAUUCUUUGUUUGAAGAGUAUCUAAAAAGGUAUCAACAAGAUCUUGUCCUUAAUCUCCAUCUAGAUCUACUUCAUAUGAUAACACAUCUAAUACAUCUAGUGAGAGUGUUAUAACUACAUCAUUAAGGAUGAAGCUUUACUUGAAGAAACAAAAGGAAGACAAUGGAAGUGGGGGUGCUAAAUCGGAGUUGGAUAAAUACGUUAGUAAAGAACAAGAGCCUUAUAUGUUGAUAUCUUAAGUUGGUGAAAAAUACAUGCUCCUAGAUUUUCUAUUCUUUCAGAGCUGGCUCGUGAUGUGUUAGCCAUUCCAAUUUCUAGUGUGGUGUCGGAAUGUGCGUUUAGCACCAGUGGCCGUAUUCUUGAUUCAUUUAAGAGUUCAUUGACUCCUAAAUGCGUGCAAGCUUUUGUUUGUGUUCAAGAUUGGCUUACAGAAGAGAAGAAUCCUAUUAGUGUUGAAGAAGAGUGGGAGUAUCUCGAGGAACUCGAACUUGAUAUGGAAAAUAAUGGAAGCACUACUAGCAUUGUUGAUGUAUUGUUGCAACUUGAGUAGUUCAAGUUCAAUCAUGCACCGUGCUCCUAAAGUGCGCUCACAUAUUUGGGAACAUUUUGAGGAGGUAGGAGUUGACGAAGAAGUUCGCAAAGUAGAGUGCAAGCACUGUGGUCGAGUCUUUAAUGUUCAUCAAAAGAGGGAUGACACAUGAUUUAAGGAAGCAUAUCAAGAGUUGUCUUGAGCGUCUUCCAGAAAUUCGUAUUAAGUUGAUUUGAGAUAAUUUGUAUUAUUUUGAAUUUGUUAAGACUUAUUUAAGCUUAAUGUGUUAGUUUAUUAGACAAUUUGCUCUUAUUGGCGGUAGUAAGCAUUAGCACUUGACUACGUUGUUGGCUUGUGCCUAUUCUUGAGCAACUCUCCUGUAUUUUCGAGUCUUGAGUCUUACCGCUGCUUUGUUCACAAUGACUUGGUAAUUGGUAUGAUAUUGAAACUA